rnacentral:rRNA from 1 species
CUACCAUGCAGUCGAGCGCGAAUAGGGGCAACCCUUAGUAGAGCGGCGCACGGGUGCGUAACACGUGGAUAAUCUGCCUGAGUGCUCGGGAUAACCAGUCGAAAGAUUGGCUAAUACCGGAUAAGCCCACGGUUUCUUCGGAGACUGAGGGAAAAGGUGGCCUCUGUAUACAAGCUAUCACAUUCAGAUGAGUCCGCGGCCCAUCAGCUAGUUGGCGGGGUAAUGGCCCACCAAGGCGACGACGGGUAGCUGGUCUGAGAGGACGAUCAGCCACACUGGAACUGAGACACGGUCCAGACUCCUACGGGAGGCAGCAGUGGGGAAUUUUGCGCAAUGGGCGAAAGCCUGACGCAGCAACGCCGCGUGUGUGAUGAAGGUCUUUGGAUUGUAAAGCACUUUCGACCGGGAAGAAAACCCGUUGGCUAACAUCCAACGGCUUGACGGUACCGGGAGAAGAAGCACCGGCUAACUCUGUGCCAGCAGCCGCGGUAAUACAGAGGGUGCAAGCGUUGUUCGGAAUUAUUGGGCGUAAAGCGCGUGUAGGCGGCGUGACAAGUCGGGUGUGAAAGCCCUCAGCUCAACUGAGGAAGUGCGCCCGAAACUGUCGUGCUUGAGUGCCGGAGAGGGUGGCGGAAUUCCCCAAGUAGAGGUGAAAUUCGUAGAUAUGGGGAGGAACACCGGU